GUCCACGCUGUAAACGAUGGGCACUAGGUGUCGCGGGUAUUGACCCCUGCGGUGCCGCAGCUAACGCAUUAAGUGCCCCGCCUGGGGACUACGGCCGCAAGGUUAAAACUCAAAGGAAUUGACGGGGGCCCCGCACAAGCGGUGGAGCAUGUGGUUCAAUUCGACGCAACGCGAAGAACCUUACCCGGGCUAGACAACAGAGGACAGCCUUAGAAAUAAGGUCUUCCCUUCGGGGACCUCUUGUUCAGGUGCUGCAUGGCUGUCGU
rnacentral:rRNA from 1 species